rnacentral:tRNA from 1 species
GCCCGUGUGGAGAAAUGGUAAACUCAGCAGAUUCAAAAUCUGCCGCCUUCGGGCUUGGCGGUUCAAGUCCGCCCACGGGUACCA